GAGAUGGAGAAGUAGAAAUAAAAGUAUCAAGAAUCCAUACUACCAUCCAGGUAAUAGACCACUGUUAACAGAUUAUCUUAUUUAGUCCAUACAACAAUACAUUUACAUGGAUAACAAGAAAAAUCUCGAAGUGGCCAUGGAGACCAAACUAAACAUUCCAAUAAAUAUGUAACCACGGGUUAGGACCCACUACAGCACAGAAAUGGCCAUUCCAUUGCCAAAAGAGACCACACUCCACAUCUUUCUCAAUCGUCUUCUACUCAAAGACCGUAAUAACCACUACAAGGCUCCAUAGCCUCAUUCCUGGUAGCACAAUCCUCAAAGGAAUACAGAAGAGGUGAAAAGAACAGCUUAACAAUCUCCC